rnacentral:tRNA from 1 species
GGCAGAGUAACUCAGAGUGGUAGAGUAGUUGCUUACCAAGCACAAAGCCCUAGGUUCAAACUCCAGUACUGCCU